rnacentral:rRNA from 1 species
GACGAACGCUGGCGGCGUGCUUAACACAUGCAAGUCGAACGGAAAGGCCCUGCUUUUGUGGGGUGCUCGAGUGGCGAACGGGUGAGUAACACGUGAGUAACCUGCCCUUGACUUUGGGAUAACUUCAGGAAACUGGGGCUAAUACCGGAUAGGAGCUCCUGCUGCAUGGUGGGGGUUGGAAAGUUUCGGCGGUUGGGGAUGGACUCGCGGCUUAUCAGCUUGUUGGUGGGGUAGUGGCUUACCAAGGCUUUGACGGGUAGCCGGCCUGAGAGGGUGACCGGCCACAUUGGGACUGAGAUACGGCCCAGACUCCUACGGGAGGCAGCAGUGGGGAAUAUUGCACAAUGGGCGGAAGCCUGAUGCAGCAACGCCGCGUGCGGGAUGACGGCCUUCGGGUUGUAAACCGCUUUCGCCUGUGACGAAGCGUGAGUGACGGUAAUGGGUAAAGAAGCACCGGCUAACUACGUGCCAGCAGCCGCGGUGAUACGUAGGGUGCGAGCGUUGUCCGGAUUUAUUGGGCGUAAAGGGCUCGUAGGUGGUUGAUCGCGUCGGAAGUGUAAUCUUGGGGCUUAACCCUGAGCGUGCUUUCGAUACGGGUUGACUUGAGGAAGGUAGGGGAGAAUGGAAUUCCUGGUGGAGCGGUGGAAUGCGCAGAUAUCAGGAGGAACACCAGUGGCGAAGGCGGUUCUCUGGGCCUUUCCUGACGCUGAGGAGCGAAAGCGUGGGGAGCGAACAGGCUUAGAUACCCUGGUAGUCCACGCUGUAAACGGUGGGUACUAGGUGUGGGGUCCAUUCCACGGGUUCCGUGCCGUAGCUAACGCUUUAAGUACCCCGCCUGGGGAGUACGGCCGCAAGGCUAAAACUCAAAGGAAUUGACGGGGCCCCGCACAAGCGGCGGAGCAUGCGGAUUAAUUCGAUGCAACGCGUAGAACCUUACCUGGGUUUGACAUGGAUCGGGAGUGCUCAGAGAUGGGUGUGCCUCUUUUGGGGUCGGUUCACAGGUGGUGCAUGCCUGUCGUCAGCUCGUGUCGUGAGAUGUUGGGUUAAGUCCCGCAACGAGCGCAACCCUUGUUCACUGUUGCCAGCACGUCAUGGUGGGGACUCAGUGGAGACCGCCGGGGUCAACUCGGAGGAAGGUGGGGAUGACGCCAAGUCAUCAUGCCCCUUAUGUCCAGGGCUUCACGCAUGCUACAAUGGCUGGUACAGAGAGUGGCGAGCCUGUGAGGGUGAGCGAAUCUCGGAAAGCCGGUCUCAGUUCGGAUUGGGGUCUGCAACUCGACCUCAUGAAGUCGGAGUCGCUAGUAAUCGCAGAUCAGCAACGCUGCGGUGAAUAAGUUCCCGGG